GACGAACGCUGGCGGCGUGCUUAACACAUGCAAGUCGAACGGAAAGGCCCUGCUUUUGUGGGGUGCUCGAGUGGCGAACGGGUGAGUAACACGUGAGUAACCUGCCCUUGACUUUGGGAUAACUUCAGGAAACUGGGGCUAAUACCGGAUAGGAGCUCCUGCUGCAUGGUGGGGGUUGGAAAGUUUCGGCGGUUGGGGAUGGACUCGCGGCUUAUCAGCUUGUUGGUGGGGUAGUGGCUUACCAAGGCUUUGACGGGUAGCCGGCCUGAGAGGGUGACCGGCAAAAUUGGGAUGGGAAUGGGGCCCGGACUCCGACGGGGGGCGGAGGGGGGGAAUUUGGCACAGGGGGGGGAGGCUGGAUGCGGAACCGCCGGGGGGGGGAGGGCGGCUUUGGGUUUGAAACCCGCUUCCCCCGGGGAGGAAGGGGGAGUGACGGAAAGGGGAAAAGAAGCACCGGCAAACUAGGUG
rnacentral:rRNA from 1 species